rfam:Aedes aegypti strain Liverpool supercont1.161 genomic scaffold, whole genome shotgun sequence.
UUUUCAUGAUGAUUACCCUUUAUUCAGUUCUGCUUAUGAGCACCGUGAUUAAAACAAUUUACCUAAGCACACUUUUUCUGACGU